CGGCAGCGACGCCGCGUGAGUGAUGAAGGCCUUCGGGUGUAAAGCGUCUGUGAGGGGGACGAAUGAGGGUUGGCUAACAUCCAGCUCGAUGACGGACCCCUUUAGCAAGCACCGGCUAACUCUGUGCCAGCAGCCGCGGUAAGACAGAGGGUGCAAACGUUGUUCGGAAUUACUGGGCGUAAAGCGCGUGUAGGCGGUUCGUAAAGUCAGGUGUGAAAGCCCUGGGCUUAACCCAGGAAGUGCACUUGAAACUCACGAACUUGAGUCCCGGAGAGGAAGGCGGAAUUCUCGGUGUAGAGGUGAAAUUCGUAGAUAUCGAGAGGAACAUCGGUGGCGAAGGCGGCCUUCUGGACGGUGACUGACGCUGAGACGCGAAAGCGUGGGGAGCAAACAGGAUUAGAUACCCUGGUAGUCCACGCCGUAAACGAUGGGUGCUAGGUGUCGCGGGCUUUGACCCCUGCGGUGCCGUAGCUAACGCAUUAAGCACCCCGCCUGGGGAGUACGGCCGCAAGGCUA
rnacentral:rRNA from 1 species